CUCCAGGGAUGGAAAUCAAACCCAACAGUGUUCCGCUUACCGGGCAGAUGCCACGUCCACUAGGCUACCCUGGC
rnacentral:tRNA from 1 species